rnacentral:rRNA from 1 species
UACGGGGGGGGCAAGCGUUGUUCGGAAUUACUGGGCGUAAAGGGCGCGUAGGCGGUUCGCUAAGUUGAAUGUGAAAACUCUGGGCUUAACCCAGAGCCUGCAUUCAAUACUGGCGGGCUAGAGUUCUGGAGGGGAUAGCGGAAUUCCUGGUGUAGCGGUGAAAUGCGUAGAGAUCCGGAAGAACACCGGUGGCGAAGGCGGCCUGCUGGGCUAUGGCUGACACUGAGGCGCGACAGCGUGGGGAGCAAACAGG